rnacentral:misc_RNA from 1 species
GAUGAAGAACUAGCGAAAUGCGAUAAGUAAUGUGAAUUGCAGAAUUCAGUGAAUCAUCGAAUCUUUGAACGCACAUUGCGCCCGCCAGUAUUCUGGCGGGCAUGCCUGUUCGAGCGUCAUUUCAACCCUCAGGCCCCCAGUGCCUGGCGUUGGGGAUCGGCGCGGCGCCCUCCGGGGCGCUGCCGGCCCCGAAAUUCAGUGGCGGUCUCGCUGUAGCCCUCCUCCGCGUAGUAGCACAACCUCGCGGCCUGGAGCUCGGCGGUGGCCAUGCCGUAAAACACCCCACUUCUGAAAGUUGACCUCGGAUCAGGUAGGAAUACCCGCUGAACUUAAGCAUAUCAAUAAGCGGAGGA